UCCGGUUUGUCACCGGCAGUCCCAUUAGAGUGCUCAACUGAAUGUAGCAACUAAUGGCAAGGGUUGCGCUCGUUGCGGGACUUAACCCAACAUCUCACGACACGAGCUGACGACAGCCAUGCACCACCUGUGAUCCUGUCCCGAAGGAAAAGUGUGUUUCCACACCGGUCAGGAACAUGUCAAGCCCAGGUAAGGUUCUUCGCGUUGCGUCGAAUUAAACCACAUGCUCCGCUGCUUGUGCGGGUCCCCGUCAAUUCCUUUGAGUUUUAGCCUUGCGGCCGUACUCCCCAGGCGGGGAACUUAAUGCGUUAGCUGCGGCACGGAAGGCGUUGAUAACCCCCCACACCUAGUUCCCACCGUUUACGGCGUGGACUAC
rnacentral:misc_RNA from 1 species